UAUCUUCAUUGACUUUCAUCGAACCUUUUGGGAGAUCAGAUUCAGAGAGAGAAAACGGAAAUUGUGGAGUUUAGAGAGAGAAAGUAGGAAAUGUGGAGAGAGUCUGUUAGGGUUUCUGGAAAUGGACUACCCUGAAUCUACCAUACCCUCCGCAGGGGACGCUACUGAAACUGUUCCCGUCCAAGCUGCUCAACACCAUGGCUUGCAUGUACGUAGUCUCCAGUUUGAAGAUGCUCAGCAGAAAGUAGUAACAAAUAGGCAUGUACAAAACACUUCAGGUAUUGAAAAUAGUUCUAGGCCACUUGCCUCUUCUGCAGAUAGAGGGGGCCCCAAAUCACUAUCCUUGGAGACACCAUCAACUCCCAUUCGUCGGGUUGGUAUGACCCAGCAUACGGAUUAUCCUGGAAAUAGUGGGAAUUAUAGCAUAAAUUUUCCAAAGCCCGUAGGUAUUGGCUUGCACCUAAAUAGCAUUGUCAGCACUACGCAAGCAGGAACUGGAGAAACUGUAAUUGUGAAAUCAUCUGAAAAGGGUAUUUUAAGUAUACGGAAUGAGCAACAAGUGACUACUCUGAGCUCUCAUCUAUCUGAAAACUCAAAGAACUCUUCAUAUUUGUCUGUGUUGGAGAGUGUUCUCGGAAGUCCUGAUGAAAGUAGGCGUGAAAAUGAUCAUGCCUUGGUGGCAGCUAAUUCUGCUAUUUCUGUGUCCACUUAUGACGCAAAACCUUUGGACAACCCUAUGGUCUGUAAUCCAAUUGAGGAUCAAUCAACUCCAGUUAACAAGAGGAAGUCUAACGCUGGAAAUGCUGAUGAUGCAGAGGAGUUUAACAAGUCAAGCCCCAAAAGGAAGAGGAAGAAAACACCCGAGUCCAAUGAUGAUUACAGUAGCAAACUUUGCAACUGCAAGAAGUCUAAAUGCUUGAAGCUUUACUGUGAUUGCUUUGCUGCUGGAAUAUAUUGUGAGGAACCUUGUUCUUGCCAAGGGUGCUAUAACAGGCCUGAAUAUGAGGAUACGGUUCUAGAGACACGCCAACAAAUUGAAUCUCGCAAUCCUCUGGCAUUUGCUCCAAAGACAGUACAGAACUUCAUUUAUCCAUCUUCAAGCAUUUGUGGGGAAGAUGAGACUCAGUUAUCAAAGCCCUCCAUAAGGCACAAAAGAGGGUGCAAUUGCAAGAAGUCGAUGUGCCUCAAAAAGUACUGUGAGUGCUAUCAGGCAAAAGUUGGUUGUUCUGAUGGAUGUCGAUGCGAAGGAUGUAAAAAUGACUAUGGCCAAAAGGGAGAAUAUGGCAUGGAUAACGUUGUGGGCAUGCAAGGUACUGAUGAAACAACAGAUGGCUCCUCUGUUGAAAAACUUGAAAUGGUGGGGUCUGGAAAUGCUUUGUAUCAUACUGAGCUAAGCAAUCCUCAUAAUUUGACUCCUCUGACACCAUCAUUCCAAUACUCAAACCAGGGAAAAGGUGCAUCAAAAGCUUGGUUCUCUUCUGGAAAAUACUUCCAUUCACCAGAAUCUGGUCCCACCUUUGGGGCACCAUGCAUCACGUUCCCAAGGUCUCCUGGGAAUGUGUAUAAUUCUGAUAUGAUCUCAGAAUCUUCUAAAGAAAUUCUGGAUCUAGAUUCUUUUGAUCAUGAACUAGAUUACCACAAAGCAGAAGCGGUCAAUGACUUCUCAUUUGGGCACCAUGGACCUGGCAAUAAGGAGCUUCUUGCUGGUCCGCUAAAUGCAGGAGAAUCGGAAAACAAUUGGAAAGUUCAACCAUUUUCUGGAAGUGGACAUUUUUCUCCAGCAAGCUCCCUUCGUUGGCGUGGUUCACCGAUCACCCCUAUGGCUCAGUUUAGUGGGACUAAACUUCCUCAAGCUGCUGACUAUUAUGAUGGUUUACACAACAUUCUGGAAGAUGACACACCAGAGAUUCUGAAGGACACUCCUAACCCACUCAAUGCUGUGAAAGUAAGAUCUCCAAAUAAGAGGCAAGUUUCUCCCCCUCAUGAACAUUCGCUUGAGCUGGGUUCAAGGUCAUCAGAAGGCCUGAGAAUUUCUCGCAAGUUCAUACUGCAAGCCGUUCCCUCAUUCCCACCUCUUACGCCUUGUGUUGAAUCUAAAAACGCUGGACAAAAAAAGACAUAAUCCGCAGAAUUGUAGCAACAGCAGGAUAUGAGAUGAAGCAUAUGAGGACCUGCUCUAUACCCUCAAAUGGUUUUUCAUCCAUAUCAAUGAAAGCAACCUUUAGGUCACUAUAAUCUGCCAGUUGCAACGCUUUUCGAGGCUCCAAAUACAAAAAUGAAAGAAAGCCUCCAGUAGAAUGGAAGAUUUCCAAAUGUACAGCAUCCUGUCCAACCCCCUUCAUGUUCAUACUUUCUAGAUGUUAAACAGAUGCUGCAUACUGCUAUACUCUAUUGGUUAGGAAAAAAACAAGUCGGCCUUUUUGAUUUUCCAUGAUGAAUGCCAUGUUCUGAGGGAAAGAGACUCGUAUUUUUUAGGCAUUUAAU